CUAUUUUUUUUUCUGGGAAAGACAGGGCGGCUGGCCCAUGUGGCCCACCCGGUCGUCGGAUUCUGAAACUCCGACGAUGCUCUUUUCAGCCGCACCGAUGCCUGCGGUUGCUGCGGCUGCUGUUGCAUGGCCUGCACUGCUUCGGUGAGGCCUCUGACCUGUUGAACUAGCAGGUCAAACUGCUCCAUGCCGACUGCCGUC
rnacentral:lncRNA from 1 species